rnacentral:rRNA from 1 species
ACACCGGCAGCUCAAGUGGUAGCCGCUUUUAUUGGGCCUAAAGCGUCCGUAGCCGGUCUGAUAAGUCUCUGGCGAAAUCCCACAGCUUAACUGUGGGAAUUGCUGGAGAUACUAUCAUGACUCGAGGUCGGGAGAGGCUGGAGGUACUCCCAGGGUAGGGGUGAAAUCCUGUAAUCCUGGGAGGACCACCUGUGGCGAAGGCGUCCAGCUGGAACGAACCUGACGGUGAGGGACGAAAGCCAGGGGCGCGAACCGGAUUAGAUACCCGGGUAGUCCUGGCCGUAAACGAUGUGGACUUGGUGUUGGGAUGGCUUCGAGCUGCCCCAGUGCCGAAGGGAAGCUGUUAAGUCCACCGCCUGGGAAGUACGGCCGCAAGGCUGAAACUUAAAGGAAUUGACGGGG